CGAUCUGAGGUGCGGUGAUUGGCAAUAUCAUCUCCUCUACUUCUUCGUUUGAUUACAGGCCUCUCUCUAUCUAACUCUUUGUUUGUUUCCCGAGAAAAAAAAAAGUUGAAGUUGUCCCGAUCUCUCUUCCACUUCUUCGUUCGACUACAAAGUAUUCGUCCAAUUUUGGGUUAGUCCUGGUGUUUUAGGGGCUUAGAGAGAGAGAGAGAGAGAGAGUAGUAGUACAAAUUGGGGGCUAGGGUUUGUAUACUUUGGAAUUGGAAUCACGCCAAACCGGUUUUGAUUCAAAAUAGAUCCGUGGCUUAAAAAAGCAGAAGGAUUUAUGCUGGCUGGAUCAAUACUCAUGGUUGGUGGCAAUAAUGCUCAACUUAAGUUGUUGCAUAACUGAUGCUAGUGCUGCUUAAGUUGCUGCAUAAUUGCUGGUGCUGUUGUUGGAGGCAUGAUGGAUGCUUUGACUGAUUUGUUGUUGUAGAGAUAGAAACUUAGCUGAAAGAAUUGCAGAUGCUACUGCAUUGAAAUCAUGGUGAUGCUGCUGAUCAAAGAUCUUUUGGUUGUUUCUGUCAUCUUCAAAAGAAAGAAGCCUCUACAUUCCAUUAUAUAUGAAUAUAAAAUUUGUAUAAUAUAAUCUUCAUGUAUCGAAUCCAUCCUUGUAAAUGUUUGACUCAGUAUGCAGUUUGAUUAAAUUAUACUUCUGCUUUUGUUUGAUAUACACCAAUGUGUUUUUUUUUACAUGUAAGGAUGUUUCCUAAUUUUUCUAGCAAGUGGUUAUGUAAUUAAUUUGCAUUGAUUGAAUA